UUUGCCCUAUAUAUUACAGAGUCUAAACCCUAACCCCUCACUCCCUCUCACUCUCUCUCUCUCCUCUCUUUUAUCUCCCCCGCCUCCUUGGUCGUCUCCUCUGGUGGCCCCACCGGCGACACCACUGCCUCCGCCACCACCUCCUCCUCCCUCGCCGCCGUCUUUCUCUUCUCCUAUUCUCUUCACUGAUCUUCACCGGUCGUCUACUUCGUCUUCUCCACCCUCGUCGUCGGUUCCAAAACCCUAACCCUACAAAGGACUACCGCCGGACUCGUCAGAAUGGCGAUCUCAAACGGGCUGAUUGCGAUGAAAGAUCAGGCAAUCUUCUCUGAUCAGAACUCUGCACCUGAUUCAGCCUUGAGUUAACUGUGUCUGUGAAGCCCCAAACUGACAUUGAAGGCCUCAACAUUGCCGAUGAUGUCUCUCAGACAGAACUUUGUCCUCUUUGGAGUUGCCUAGGGCUGUUGCUGUUGCAACUGUGCCAUCUUCACCUAUCUCAAAUGGUGGGCCCCCCUCAUGAAAAUCAAGACAGGACUGAAGUAGGUACUUUUGAUGGAACUGGCAGGCUUAAGUUCAGGAUCCUGCUCAAUAUAUUUCAAUUCAAC